CGCAGCUGCAGCAGCAGCGCCUCUGCUUCUGGGCAGCUGGGCUUCAACAAUAACGCCGACUGCACAUCGCGAUAGCACUGGGAGUUCUGGAGAAAAGAGCACAUGUGGUGUUAGAUGCCUCACAUAUGAAGUGCACGUGCUGCUGCUUUUUCUAAUAUACUGCGGUGACCUGGUUCAUCUGCUUGUGGAGUCUGGCUCUGAGGACAUAGAGGUCAGAGGUGGGUUCAUCCGAUGCUAUCCAGUCAUUCAGCACUUGCAGACAGUCAGUGAGAUGCCCUGCAGCUGUCAGACAGGCCAGGCUGGAGCAGGGAUGAUCAGAGCUCAGAGGUCCUGCAGCCCGGUUUGACCUGUGCAGCUUUAGUGAAGGAUUCCAAUGCAUCCAGGAAAAGACCUCGAUCAAACAAACACUGGCCCUGGAAAGCCAAAAACCAGAGAAUUACUCUCUCGUCAUCGGAAGCUAGA